GCAGCCGCCGCGGGAAUACGAAGGGGGCUAGCGUUGUUCGGAUUUACUGGGCGUAAAGGGCGCGUAGGCGGACUGAUAAGUCAGGGGUGAAAUCCCAAGGCUCAACCUUGGAACUGCCUUUGAUACUGUUUGUCUUGAGUUCGAGAGAGGUAAGUGGAACUGCGAGUGUAGAGGUGAAAUUCGUAGAUAUUCGCAAGAACACCAGUGGCGAAGGCGGCUUACUGGCUCGAAACUGACGCUGAGGCGCGAAAGCGUGGGGAGCAAACAGGAUUAGAUACCCCCGUAGUCCCUGUCUCUUAUAC
rnacentral:rRNA from 1 species